rnacentral:rRNA from 1 species
AUUGAACGCUGGCGGCAUGCCUUACACAUGCAAGUCGAACGGCAGCAUGGAGAGCUUGCUCUCUGAUGGCGAGUGGCGAACGGGUGAGUAAAGCAUCGGAACGUACCGUGUAGUGGGGGAUAACGUAGCGAAAGUUACGCUAAUACCGCAUACGCACUGAGGUGGAAAGCAGGGGAUCGCAAGACCUUGCGCUAUACGCGCGGCCGAUGUCAGAUUAGCUAGUUGGUAGGGUAAAGGCCUACCAAGGCGACGAUCUGUAGCGGGUCUGAGAGGAUGAUCCGCCACACUGGGACUGAGACACGGCCCAGGCUCCUACGGGAGGCAGCAGUGGGGAAUUUUGGACAAUGGGGGCAACCCUGAUCCAGCCAUGCCGCGUGAGUGAAGAAGGCCUUCGGGUUGUAAAGCUCUUUCGGCCGGGAAGAAAUCGCACAGGCUAAUACUCUGUGUGGAUGACGGUACCGGCAUAAGAAGCACCGGCUAACUACGUGCCAGCCGCCGCAGUAA